rnacentral:rRNA from 1 species
UACGGGGGGGGCAAGCGUUGUUCGGAAUUACUGGGCGUAAAGGGCUCGUAGGCGGCCAACUAAGUCAGACGUGAAAUCCCUCGGCUUAACCGGGGAACUGCGUCUGAUACUGGAUGGCUUGAGUUUGGGAGAGGGAUGCGGAAUUCCAGGUGUAGCGGUGAAAUGCGUAGAUAUCUGGAGGAAUACCGGUGGCGAAGGCGGCAUCCUGGACCGGCAUUGACGCUGAUGAGCGAAAGCUAGGGAGCAACGGG